GGAUAGGAGGAGGCGGCGGCGGCGGCUAUGCCCUGCGGCCCUGCCCUCCGUCCUAUCCAGACAUGUCCAAGCGUGGACGAGGCUGUUGCGUUUGGGGGAGGCAGUUGCCAGUAGGAUUCCUCGUCCUGAUAUAUAGAUGGAGCCAGUUCCUCUUUGGCUUGAUCCAAAUUUCCCAUCUAUUUUACCUACUUCCACCUUGGUUCCGUCGGCUGUUUGUGUUCUGUUCGCCGGAUUCCCGAUUCCCACUGGAAUUAGGCUUGGUGGGUGGUGGUGCCCAGGGCACCGUCAGCUCUCCUCCCCGGAGGCGAGCCCCAUCGCGUUGCGUGCUGUCGUGUCGCCUUGGAGCCCGGUCGCCGGCAGUUCAGCUCCUGCGCUGCGCUCGGUCUCGUGGUCGGCUGCGGCGUGUUCUCGUGUGCGCCGUUGGCUGGUGGCUGGGCGGCCUCUGGUGUGUCUCUGUGUGCGCGUCUUCGUGCGUGUUCUUGUGCAGGUGGUGGAAGGCGAGCUCCCGCUCAGACCCGUCGUCCGCGCGCUGUAUCGCGGCACUGCUGUCGCGCUUGCCUCGGCUUCAUGCACCUUAUUGCCGGCGUGGCCGUCGCGGCACUGCUGUCGCGUUCGCGUGCGUGUUCUGGUGGGUUUGUCCAUGCGGUGCUCCUGCUUGGUUGGGCAGUGACCGUGCGUGCGCAUGUGUUGUCGCUCUCUGUUCGGUGACUUCCUCCAUAGCGUGGAGCUUGGGCUUCUCUCUGUUGCAGCAUUUGAUUGCUUCUCGGGUGCUGGCAGAUGUGCCCCACAGUUGGCAUAGUGAUCUUAUAUCUCUGAAAGCAACACCAUCACGACCUCGGCAUUGUUCAGUUUUCUGGGACAGCACUCUGGUUUGGGAUCAACCAGGGUCUGAGGACCGAUGACCCUGUGCCUGAUGCUCGGGUCGAGGCCAACGGGAAGAUUUCCAUGCACCGCAGAUGGAGACGUGUAACACCUAACUUUUAACUUUUUGAAAAUAGGUUAUUCAAAAUAAGUUAUUUUCUUUUUCAGAUUUUAACCCUAAACUUUUUAUAGUGUAACUUUCUCAUUCUAGCUCCGAUUUAGACGAUUUUCGUGCUCUCGCGUUCGUAGCAGCAUGCACUACCUAUUUGUUAUUAGCUAUUGUUUGGUUUAUUGUUCUUAGAUAGUUUUGGUUUACUGUAUUUUUUUGGUGUGUAUCGAGAGUAGGCGAGGAGUAGUUCGAGAAUCUCUAGGACCAAGUCUUUGAAGAGUCUAAGCAGCAAGUUAAAAGAGAUAAGUGUCUUUGAACAUUUUGACCCUAGUUUUUCGAAUGCGUUAUUUAUUUGAAACAUGCAUACUGUUAAUUAUGAAUCUCAUUUACUUAUAGUACCAUGUUCCAUAUAUCUCUUGUCGACCUAAUUGUCAGUAAUGGUUAUACUGGGUAGCUCAUGUUUAUUCUUGCACAAGGGUAUGGUUGGGUUGUUGGUUAAAUGUGAUUAAUCGUCUAUGCAACUAUGAAAUGAGAAUACUGUUAAUUGUUGUAGCGACAUGGAAUAUAAGGACGUUGAGCAGAAGGUUAGAUGAUGUUGGUGCGUGAGGCACAUGUGCGUGAAACACUAUGGUUGGUGGUAGUGUCUACUUGAUAUCUUAAGGACUGGUUUGUGGAACGAGUAACCCCGAUUAACAGUUUAGUCACGAGGCUUAUAUGGGUACGGUAUGACCAAUUAAUUAGCGGUUCCUCAACAUAGAAUGAGCCAAUGGUGGUAUAGUGGGAGGGAAGAUUGAUUCUUUUAGAGUUACAAGACGCAAGAAGAGGCUUCUGGGUGGUGUGACUCCACUUUGACAGUGGUAGAAUCUUAGUAAGCUUAUUCUUGUUGGGAUGAUACUUUGUAACGGCUUUGUAGUGAUCUCUAGGCGACACAUCAUGAAACUGUGUUAAGUGUCUUGUAAACACGAUAACAUGGAGAUCACGACUCGUGGGUAAAAUUGGACGACCUCUACAAGGUGUAAAACUAACAUAUCAGCCGUGCUCACGGUUAAAAGUGGUGUGGUCCCUUCACAUGAUUAGUUGGUUUGGGUUUUGGCUUUACUUUUGGUUGGUGUUAGAUUACUUGUGAUGGGUAGCUAUUGGAUGGUUGGUUAUCUGUGAUGGGUAAUAGUGAAUGUUUCUUGGUUACUUACGAUGGGUAUCAAGUUGGUUGGUUUGGGAGUCUAAUGUGGAUUUCAGGUGGUUGAGAAACAUGUGUAGACGUUUUCAGAAGUGGAAGUUUAAUGAUGAACUACCCAGUUAAAUAUGAUACUUUUAUAACUUUUACGUUAGCAUAGUUGUUAUUUAUGCAAAUUAUACAUGUAAUAGUCUGUUCCUUUAUUCAAGCUUGCAUAUAAUUUAUUUCCCACAUUUGCGGAGUACGACAUGUACUCAUACUUGCUAUUUCCAUAUAAAUAUACUUCAAAUCGCUACUCAGAUAAUGAAGGAGAGUCAGACUAUUUCACGGACAAAGAUGAUGACUUCUAGGCUGGUGGACCCCUGGUCGAUUGUUUGUGAAAGAUGGGAGCUUUGAUGUAUUUAACUAGUGCGCUUUGGUUAAGAUCUUGAGGUCUUUUCUAUUUAUUUAAGUUAAAUUGUAAUAAUGACACUGUGUGUGAUAUAUUGAUGAAGUUGCUGCAUGUAUGAAACUUAAUCAUGACAUACAUAUAGUUUAUAUUUGAUUUUA